rnacentral:rRNA from 1 species
CAGCUCUCCGAGUGGUAGGGAUGAUUAUUGGGCUUAAAGCGUCCGUAGCCGGCUUAGCAAGUUUCCUGUUAAACCCAGCGACUCAAUCGUUGGAUCGCGGGAAAUACUACUAGGCUAGGAGGCGGGAGAGGUCAACGGUACUUCUGGGGUAGGGGCGAAAUCCUAUAAUCCCGGGAGGACCACCAGUGGCGAAGGCUGUUGACUAGAACGCGCUCGACGGUGAGGGACGAAAGCUGGGGGAGCGAACCGGAUUAGAUACCCGAGUAGUCC